AUCCCUUCAACAAUCUACCCAAACACAGCUCUUCCCUGCAAAUCAACGCCAAUCGCUAUAUCUAAGGCAUUCGAACUUAAUGACGCCCUCGACACGCUUUGAUAAUAUUUAAUUAAAAAUCGCAUUUAAAAUUAAUAAGCUUAAAUGGAGACCAAUAGCGCCUGGCCGAGCACGAAAAUCCGGCAUCUGUAGAGGCACACGAGCCAAAUAAAAAUGGCAUUUUUUUCAAAAGGAAUAUUACAGCACCAUCCACAUAAAAAAAAAGCGCCAAGAACGGGGACGCAAAUAAAAGCAGCAAAUGGGGAUACCAUCCACCCAAAAGAGAACUCCCCGUUCUGACCUGGUAAUAAAAGGAACAACAUAAAACGCAAUCACAAUCAUCGACAAUAAUCUGGCAGCAACAACCAACAAAAAAAUGCUUAUUAUAAAAUUUCACAGUUUUUC
ensembl:ncRNA lncRNA:CR44541 long non-coding RNA:CR44541